UUCCUGCUUAAAGGUUAUUUUCAAAAGGUACUUUUAAUCUCACAACCCUCAUUGGAAUAUUUUUUUAACUUCCAGAAACAACGUUGUUGCUUAAUUCCCCAAACAUCUCACCUUUUUAUUCUCUGCGCGUUGGAGCAACGGCGUCUCACAGUAAAAAGGUCCAGGGGUCAAAUGUCAUUCAGAAACUUUGCUGUGUUGAGUGAGUCUGUGUGUUUUCCUUGCACAAAAAGCUUCCUUCCACAGUCCGAAAACAUACAUGUUAGGAUAUGUUUCCUCCUUAAAAUUAUGUCUGUACAAAUAUAAUUGUUGUGCAUCCAGGACAAAUAUCACAGCUCUUUAUAUCUUGGAUAGGACAUAAAAUACCUUUCAUUAGAGGAUUUUUAUAGAUAAUACUUUAGCUUUUUUCAAAUGUAUCUGAGCUUGAAUUUACUUUUUUUUUUAAUCAGUGGUACAUGAGGUCUUGGUUCCCUUUGAUUAUUUUAAUAUGAUGUGACACAGAGGCCAGUUUCUAUUAGUCAUUUCUUCAAAAAUAGGAAAUACACAAGAAAACAUGCCAUUCAAUAAAGCAUGAGUGUGCGUCAACCUUUAUAGGUCAGAAAAUGGCAACAAGAAAACAGCUCCUGGUCAAAGCUAAAAGCUACAGUCAGAUAAAUUAUUAAAACAGUAAAAAAAUAAAAAAUAACUGGAACUGUGACGACAGAAGUUUAACUUCCAUCACACACAGUGAGGACUGGGAGGGACAUAAAAACAUUUAGGAAGCCCCCCCCAUUAAAGAGCUGCAGUAAAGACAUUAUUUUUGUUCUUAUUGGCACUAGUUCCCUUUAUUCAUUAGCAGUUUGAGAGGAAGAAGGGCAAAGAGAAAACGGAAAGACAUGAAAUAAAUCAUUGAACCACAUAAGAUCAUUUUUGGCUCCUUUUGGCGUUUCUAAUGUCCAAUGACUCAAUAAUUCCUUUUUUUGUUGUUUUUACAGAAACACGUUUCACAAACACCCAUCCAUCCGAGGAACAUCUUAAGAAAUAUGGCUGGAAAUGUCCUGGCCCAGAGUUUGGAUCAGCACACUAAACAGUCAAAUAUGGAAAUAUAAGGCAAGCAGCAGAGAGAGUUUAGUUCAAAACAGUUUGGCUUCUUUGUGCUGGUUUAAGAUUUUGCAACUUUUAAAGGUAGAACAAAACUUCCAAAAUAGUUUGUGGAUCGUCCCAUUUCAGAUAGUUUCUUGAUUAACGUUUUGAUUCCCGCUCACAGGAGCACAAUCAGCACUCGGCGGUGUGUUUAUGUAGGCAGGCCAACAGGUGGGCAGGCCACACACUCACUCACUCACUCACACACCUCCACAUCUGAACCAUCUCUCUGAUUUAGCCUUCGUCUCCAGCCUACGCCUCCUCAUCGCUCUCUGCGGCCCGUUCUCCCCGUGUCUGUGAUUCAUCAGCGCGGCGCUCUGACAUUCAGGCUUCAGUCUGUGAGCCGCCCACUCCCACGCAGCGCCACGCAGGCUUGUAGAGCGCAGUCGGCUGUGGAGUGGAUCCAGCCCAUUCAGAACGAGGACGGCACUGAAGUGGACGUUAGUAACCCAGUAAACACGGAUCCUCCACCUGAGCUGUGGAUCUGUGCAGCUCCUCCGGUGGAACCAUAAACCUCUGGGCUGCUUCUCUUACCCAGGCAGUUGAGUUGAGCAGCCAUGUCUUGGUAGGUUUCCAGUUGAAACUUGCCUCAUAACUUCAUCAUAACUUUAUUAAUAACCAUGAUAUAUGAAAUAAAUUAAGGUGUAGUUUGUAGUUACAGUGUGAGAAGCUAUGAAUACUUUUAUAUAAUGUAUACAAGAAAAGAGAAAGAUAUUCACCUGUUUUCCUAUUCUCCGUUUGUUAACUGCUGCCACCUUGUGUUCACUCACUGAAUAACAUCUGACAUGAUGCAACAUUUAACAAUAAAAACACUUUUUAUUGUAAAAACAAUGUACAGAAAUCCCCAAACAAACUUUAUAACAUUUAUUUCGAUGCUGCUGUCGGACAGGAUUAGUCGCCAGAGUUUAAAAGAUUUACAGUUUUGUUCCACUGGCCUUCAAAGAUAUUCGACCGUCGACCUCGUGGAUACAAACCAAAAGUUCCUGCUGCAGAUCCAAGUAUGGGUUAUACACAACAAAUGAUUACAGAAGACUCUGUGGUUGCAGAUUACAUCACAUGAGAUAGGCCCGGCCUUUUCCCACUGAGGCUGAGCUAAUCCACGAGGGGAAUAGGAGUUAGAUUAGGUAAUCUGCUUGUGGAGUGUCAGACUUUGAAGGAUGGAUGCAGACGGUUUUUAGGAGAAAUUUCUUGUUUUGCCAUCCAGGGAUCAAAAGAUCACUUCACCCAUAGACAUGUUUAAGAUCAAAAAUCUUGAAUAUGAUUUUUCUUUUUAUGGCUUUUGAGGUUUUUAUUUAAUUUAAUUUUUUUUUUUUUUAUGUCCAAAGCCGCAGAUACAAAGUUCAUACAUUUGUCAAUACUUUGGAUGAAACGAUCCUCUCCGAACUCGACUCUGAUCCACAGAUUAUUUAGGGAGAUUAAACUAGUUACAUACAGUAUACAUGCUCUGGAUUACUUAAAAAUGAUUUCAUAGUAAACAUGAUGCACUGCUUACACUAAAGUUAGGCACAAUUAUGUGAUUUCACAGGUCUUUGCGGUUCACAAGGCGCUGCAGGUGAACCGGUCCUUCCUUUUAGAACUGACCUGCGGCAGAUGAACACAACCGGUCAUCAGACUGGUUACCCGAGAGCAGCCGGCGGGCCUGUACGGUAGAAAAACAUCUG